rnacentral:rRNA from 1 species
AAUCCUGACUCAGGAUGAACGCUGGCGGCGUGCCUAACACAUGCAAGUCGAGCGAAGCGCUUUGCUUAGAUUCUUCGGAUGAAGAGGAUUGUGACUGAGCGGCGGACGGGUGAGUAACGCGUGGGUAACCUGCCCCAUACAGGGGGAUAACAGUUAGAAAUGACUGCUAAUACCGCAUAAGACCACAGCACCGCAUGGUGCGGGGGUAAAAAACUCCGGUGGUAUGAGAUGGACCCGCGU